rnacentral:misc_RNA from 1 species
GGCGGCAUUAUAUUAGAUGGAGAAGAAUUUGUUGGCUUUUGUCUAGGUUAAAUUGGUUUGAAAAUAUUUUAUCGGUUACCUAUAUCUUGCUGGAAAGUAAAAACAUUAUUAGAGCCUGCGGUUAAUUCUAUGUUCUCUAAUUUGAUAUCUUUUUUGUGGCAUUAUAAUAUACUAAAAGCAAUUGGCUGGCAUUGCCUAGAUUAAACCUAAUUCAGAAUUUAU